ensembl:lncRNA
GACGUCGCCCACAGCAUAUAGAAGUUCCCAGGCUAGGCGUUGAAUUGGAGCUACAGCUGCCGGCCUACACCACAGCAACACUGGAUCCAAGCCAUGUCUUCGACCUACACCACAGCUCAUGGCAACACUUCCACCACAACUCAUGGCAACGCUAGAUCCCCGACCUCAUGGGUGCUAGUCAGAUUUGUUUUUACUGCUCCACAAUGGGAACGCCUCGUCUUUGCUAUUCUGAUGGCUUCUCUUUCCUUUCAGCCUCAACCCUGGGGUUUAACCUCCAAAGUCAGAUGGCUUAUGGAGGCUCUGGCACUAGGGAGUUAUUAUUGCCCAACCCAAAUAGAAAUGACCUUUUUUUCUCCUCUGUUAAUCGUUCACCUCCAGGGAUAGCAAAUAGGCUUCUACUCAUGAGCUGAUUAGGAGCACUUUGCAGAGGCUGAGCAAAGAAGGAUUCUGAGGCUCUAUACGGGUUCAAAUGACCUGAGCCCCUAUAGGGUAGGAUGGGAUUGCGAUUGUAGUCCAGCUCUGGCUUUUCUCUUUCAAAGACCUACUCUUUGUAUGUGUCAUUUUAGAACAGGACAAGAACUUAGAGAUUUGAUAGCUAAGGGGUAGAACUUUAAUCUCCUGACUCCAAAUUCCAUGUUCUUCCCAAUAACCCAGUUUACAAAACAUUGUCCAUGAGGGUGAGGUGGGACUGUUGGAGGCUGCUUAAUGUCAUUCCCCGAGUCCCCUUUUUCAGGAUGGCCUGUUCAUCUUUGUAGCAAAGGCCUUUUCUGUCUAAUCCAGACAAGCUCUGCUAACAGUAGUGAUUUGAGGUUGAAUAUGAGAAAAUAGUCAUCUCAAACUAGGUUACUGGAGAUCCCUGGGAAUCCCCAGUGUCCUUAUUUCCAAGCGCAAAUUCCAAGACUUUGGUAGCUCAUCAAUGAUGCCCUGCAUUUGUUGGAUUUACCCCACUUCCUUUUAUUUUUUCCCUGCUUUAUUGGAAUAUAUUUGACAAAUAGAAUUGCAUAUAUUUGAAAUGAAUAACAUGAUGAUUUGAUUUUUUAUACAUAGCAAAAUAUCACCAUCAUCAAGUUACUGUAUCCAUCACUUCAUAGUGACCUUUUUGUGCAUGUGCGGUAGAUUUACUCUUAGCAAAUUUCAACUAUACUGUACAGUAUUAUUAACUGUAAUUAUUGUGCUAGAUAUUCGCUCUUCAGGAGAUUUUCAUCUAAUGUCUGGAAGUUUGUACCCUUGAUCUAUGUCUCCCCAUUUCUCUCACUCCUCAGUACCCCCAGGCAAUCACCACUCCACUCUCUGGUUCUUUGCACUGAAGUUUUAUCUCUCUCUUUUUUAAGAUUCCACAUACUAAUGAUAUCACACAGUGUUUGCCUUUCUCUGUUUUGCUCAUUUCACUUAUAAAAAAUCCUUCUAGAUUCGUUCAUGUGUCACAAAUGGUAAAAUUUUCUUCUUUUUUAAGGCUGAAUAAUAUUCUGGUGUGUGUGUGUGUGUGUGUGUGUGUGUGUGUGUGUGUACAUUUUCUUGAUCCACUCAUCCAUAGACAGAUACUUUUAUCUUGGCCAUUGUAAAUAAGAGUGCAGUGAACAUGAGAGUGCAGGUAUAUCUUCAAGAUAGUGGUUUUUGUUUUCUUUGGAUUUAUAUCCAGAAGUGGGGCUGCUGAAUCAUAUGAAAAUUUUAUUUUUAACUUUUUGUGGAAACUACAUACUGUUUUCCUUGGUGGCUGUAACAGUUUACAUUCCUACCAACAAUGUACUAGGAUUCCUUUUUCUCUACAGCCUUGCUACAAAUUUAUUAUCUCUUGUAUUUUUGAUAAUAGCCAUCCAGACAGAUGUGAGAUGAUAUCUCAUUGUGGUUUUGAUUUGCAUUUCCUGAUGAUUAGUGAUGUUGAACACUUUUUCAGGUACCUAUUGACCAUUUGUGUAUCUUCUUUGGAAAAAUGUCUACUCAAGACCUUUGCCCAUUUUUCAAUUAGAUUAAUUUUUUUUUUUGCUAUUGAGUUGAAUGCAUUCCUUUUGUAUUUCAGAUAUUGAUGUGAUCACUUAACAGAUAUUUGGUUUGCAAAUAUUUUCUCCCAUUCUGUAAAUUGCCUUUUUAUUUCAAUGGUUUCCUUAGCUGUCCAUAUUUUUACUUUAAGAUAGUCGCAUUUGCUUUGGGUGUUUUUGUGUGUAUGUGUAUGUAAUUUCCUGGGCCAGGGACUGAACUCAAGCCAUGGUGGUGACAAGGCUAAAUCCUUAACCACUAGGCCAUCAGGGAACUCCUCAUUUGUUAAUUUUUUCUUUUGUUGCCUAUACUUUGGGUAUCGUAUUCAAAAAAUCAUUGCCAGGACCAAUGUCAAGGAGCUUUUUUCUUAUGUUUUCUUCUAGGCAUUUUAUGAGGUCUUUUUUUCAGAUCUUAUAUUUAUGUCUGGAUUCUAUUUCAAGUUCAUUUUUGUGAAUAAUGUAAAUGACAUUCUAAAGACGUUGGUAGCUUAUCAGAGGUUCCUGCUUUAGUUGGAGUCUUCCAGUUCCUAACCCAAUGUAUAGAUUUGUCAGGUUUGCUGAUUCUAAAGCUUGUGAACUGACAUAAAGUGAAGAGACUUUACCUUCUGUGAAGUGUAUGUUUCUUCCUCCAUUUGGGAGGCAUCCCAGUGGACACAGUUUCUUCUAGCAUUCUUGCUGUACACUAUUAUGAUUUCAUUAGCUUUAUUUACUUUUUGACAGGGGGUGGGGAAGGAGUGGAAAGAGAGAUGGAAUUGGAUGUAAAUAUUAUGCAUACCCAGCAUAUAACCUCUUUGAUAUCAGAGAGGCUGAUUUAGUGAUCAGAAUCUAGAUGAUAGGAGGAAGGGUAGCAUGAAGACAGAAGGGAAGCUGGUUAUAAGUGGAUGAAGUGGAAAUAAGCCAUGAUUUUCUGGGUAGUAAUAUACUGUUCUCAUAGCAUUUCUGUUGUACCAUCUUAUUGUAAAGAAGAAUCCAUAAAAAGAUGAUGUUCAAAGUUUUUAAUUUAGUAAAUCUCAUCUAAGACCAAAUAUAUCUGACUGUAGCCUGACUUUUUAAAAUGCAAACACUGAGCUCUGAUUUAUUAAUUUUUAUGUUAUGAAUAUUUAAACAAGCCUGUCCCAGUGGAAUCAUUUUACACAGAGCAAAUGCACUUACAUUUUUAAUGAAAUGAGUAGUCAACCAUUAAAAAUAAAAUAUUGAUAUGAAUUGUUACACUAAUUGAUUGGAGAAGAAAGUUAUUCUGCAAGCAAUCAGAGAUUUAAGAAAAAUGAAUAGAAAUCAAACGACCUAAUUAUUGUUGGCCCUUGGCCUUAAGGAAGGCUCUGUCCAAUAUAUCUCUUUUCUUUAUGAACAACCACUUUUCAAAAUGUCUAAAGAUAAUUAUCAUUGCAAAUCAAGCCUCAGGUAGGAAAUCUGAGUCCAAAAGUAAAAUGAUCUUCAGCAGUGGUACUUAAAUGCUUAAUUCCUGCUACAGAAGAUGGGAAUGGAGAAUUGAGGUAAGUUUCUUUGUAACUCAGGCCCCAAACUUGCUUUUUCCUAGAUUCCAUAUAAAGCACAACAAUUCAAACUGAAGAUGUCUCCCCUGAAUUUCAAGACACCUGUGCUCUUAUCAAGAUGUGAACAACUAUGUGACUUUCAAAAUUACUAAAGACCCUUUGAAGUCUUUUAUUUUAAGUGGAAGAAUUGUGGUUUAAAGCAAACCCUGGCAUUCCUUCUUCUAAGUAUGGUUUUCUAUGUUUAAUCGUCUUAAAGUGAGGCAUACCUUUCUUUGAGUUGAAGGUUUAGGCUUAACUAAUGAAGACUGCUUAAUUCUCAAAUUCCUUUUAGCAGCUGAGCCUAUAAUAGGACAAGCACAGAUUUCCCUGCCACCUCACAUUUUUUGUGGGCCAAUGAGUUCUUAAUUUCUGUUAAGAGUGAGUUGAUAAACAGAAAAUGCAAAAAGAGCUAUAAUCCAUUCAAGAUAAGAUUGGGUAUAGAUUUCUGGCUGAAUCACUCUUAUAUAGCUAUUUGAUGAGCAAGAUAUGUAUUGAGUCAACAAAACAAGAGACAGCAUAGCACAGUAGGUGCCAAGGGCUCAAAGAACAAGAAAAAAAUGGAGGAAAUGAAUUGUUGGCAUUUUGUAGAUGGGAUAUGUCUCAAGGAAUGAGAGAAUUGAGGAGACUGGGAAGAAAAUGGUUAAAGUGAUGCUCUAGAGAGGGGAAGCCAAGGGGGUGGGGAGGAUGUGAGGACAAGCCAGGGGAAGCAGAAACAUGUGGUUUCCAAGGGGGAGGGGAAGGGAGUGGGAUGGACUGGGAUUGUGGGGUUAAUAGAUGCAAACUAUUGCAUUUGGAGUGAAUAAGCAAUGAGAUCCUGCUGUAUAACACAGGGAACUACAUCUAGUUAUUUGUGAUGGAACAUGAUGGAGGAUAAUGUAAGAAAAAGAAUAUACAUAUGUAGGACUGGGUCACUUUGCUGUAUAGUAGAAAUUGAGAGAAUACUGUAAGUCAACUAUAAUGGAAAAAAUAAAAUCAUUUUUAAAAAAAAGAAAAAAGAAAAAUACCAAGAUUAGAGGAUCCCAAUUUCAUCUCUUGGAACGUGAAGAAUGCCGGUAGCAAUGAACGAAUUAUUUAUUAAGUGACUUUUAUGUACCUAGCCAUCUGCUAAGUGCUCUGAAGAGUCUAAAAGAAGAUAAGAAACCCCCCUGGGAAGGGGUUUAGAGUCUGAGAGAGGUGAUAAGCCAGGCAAACACAAAACCACAGGAGUAAAACAGAGGAAACUGUACUGGGGAGCCUAAAAGUCCCCAGAAAACUUCAGGAAGAGGGGGAUCUGCCUAAGCUUGGCGGAGCUGAGACAGGCAGAGAGGAGGGGAGUGACCUGAAACUGAAAUGAACACAAGGGGAAGGUGGCUGCAAAGGACUGCAGAGAGCUCUGAGGACCUCAGUCCUUACUCCACGGCAACCUGGGCAGUGACCAUCUCUGGAGUUGAAAAGGCUUAAGUGUUGGGGCUGGAUCUGAGUUGAGCCGAAAAGGCAGGAGACACACCUGAGCUCUCAGCACAUUCCUGGACAUGGUAACAUUCAUUCAGUGAGAGCACUCAAUGGACAGCAGGGCACGUACUAAUACACCCUGCCUUAGGCAUUGGGGUUCCAAAGACAAAAAACAUGGAUUCCCAUUGUAACCAUGGGAGAAAAACAUAAAUAAUGAUUGUGGCAUGGCAAUCUAUUUAAGAUAGCUUUUGCUACCAAAUGGGAUGCCAAUGUGAUAUUACAUUUUCCUUCACACUAUCUUCUUAGAAGAACAAUCACAUGUUUGUAUUAGGGUUCGACCCUCUAGGUUUCUGAAGCCUGCAGAAAUAAUCCCCACUUUGGAAGGAUCUGACUCACUCUGUGUUAUGCUGGAGUUGCCAGAGAAGGAGGACCUUCUGUACUCAUAAGCCAUGUGAGUCACAUAUCCUGACAUGGUAGUAAACGUGGGCAUCUGGAUAACUCAGCCAGGGCCAAGGUUGAGGAAUGUGCUUGGGAAGGAGGGGAAGGCUUCACCCAGGAAGAACUGACAUUUGGGCUGGAUUUCAAAGGAGGAAGAGGAAGCUGCCAGCAGCUCUAGCAGGGCCAGGGUGAAAUCCCUGUUUGAAGAGAAUGAGGUACAAUGGAUUAUACUUGACAGGGGGCCCAUGAGGGUCUGUGACAGGAGGUGAGCAUGGGAAGGCAGGCUCUGGACAAGCUUAGAGGGAUCUUCAGCACUAAGCAGGAGAGUUCAGACCUCAUUCUUUUGGACAGCGGUGUUAGUCAUGACUUUUCCAUCUUGCUUGAAUAAGAAGAUAUGGUUGUAAACACCUAAUACUGGCAAUUGGCUUUGGACCUUGGUUUGUAAAACAAUGAUAACUUUGCCUAAACUUCUAUAAGGAAUCUGUCUUCAUUCAGCUAUUUCCUGAAUUAGGUGGCAAUGAAAGCAUAAGCUCAAAACCACAAUUCGAUCAUGCAGUUUUUGUCCAGGGACCCCAGUGUCCCCUGCUGCACUAGGAGUAACACUAGUUUGGGGACAGCAAACUUAGUGGUUCUCACAAUGAUAGUUCCAGAGUGUGUAUGUAUUAUAUACACCGUGGAUAUACACAUAUCCACAGUUCCUGACUCAUAGCUCCACAAACUCUUGGAAUUUUGUGCCGACACAACUGGAUUUAUGUGAACCAAGCUGAAUCUUGGAUUCCAUCCCAGGAACACUUCUGUGGGCCUCUGUGCUGGGCCCCACGUGUCAUGAGAAUAGGAGCUCCUGGGUUCAGAA